GGAAAUUUAUUUGUUUUAGAAUAUAAAAGGAUGUGUGUAUUAAAUUUAUGUGAAUAUUGAUCGGCUUAAAGGAACGUUCAUGUUUAAUAGAAUUGCAUGUGCACCUAUAAUAAUAAACGCGUGAUGAUUAUUUGGUUUUACAUGUGAACAAUAAAUCGGUCCAAAAGAAUAUUUAUUUUUUUGACAUGUUUUUGUUAUUAGUGUUUAAAUACUAGACCAAGAUAUCACUUACAAGUUAAUAUUUUGUCUAAAGAUGAAAUAUUAUUGGAGUGUCUGAUAUCUUGAGAUGGAGUUUGCCUUUAUUUGAAUUUAUUUUUGUUUUGAGACUACUAUGGGCUUGUUUUAUUUGGUUGUUGUUCUCUAUUCAAUUAUGACUCCUACUAAUAUUACUGCCAACAUCAAUUCUAUUCCUAUACUAAAUGACGCUAACUUCAAGUCAUGGCAACAAAACCUUUAAUAGUUCUCAUAGUCAUAGAUCUCACCUUGAGUUGAUUCUCCCUUAACUCUUAUGGAUGCGAAUACGCCUGAUGACAAAAUGAAAAUAGAAUAAUGGAAGAAAUUAAAAUGCAUGUGUAUAAUGACUAUGAAGAAGGCUAUUCUGGAAGCAUUAAGGGGCUUAAUGUCUGAAAAGGUAACUACAUCUAAGGAGUUUUUUUUACAGAAUUUGAACAGAGGUUUGUCAAGAAUGAAAAGGCUGAACUAGGUACGCUCUUGACAAGCCUAAUUUUAAUGAGGUAUACAGAUAAAAAGCAAUAUCAAGUAGUAUAUCAUGGAGAUGUCUUAUCUUGCUUCUAAGCUAAGAAUACUUAAGCUCAAAUUCUCUGAGGACUUGCUAGUGCAUCUAGUUUUGAUAUCUUUACCAACAUAGUUUAACUAGUUUAAAGUGAGCUACAAUUGUCAGAAAGAGACUUGGUCACUGAAUGAGCUUAUAUCUCACUGCGUUCAGGAAGACGAUAGGAUGAAGAAAGAUAAGGCAGAAAGAGCUCACCUGACAUCUACUCUAAGGGCAAAGACAAGGGCAAGAAAACGAAGAAAGAUAAAGAAGUUACAGAUACAACACUUCAAAAGAACCAAUGAAAGAAGCUGGCUGAUCCAGAAAGUACUAGUUGUUUCUUCUGUAAAGCUGAAGGGCAUGAGAAGAAGUAUUGAACCAAUUAUCACGCGUGGCAUGAUAAGAAGAAUUUGCUUCUUAUUUUGAUUUGUUCUGAGGUUAAUUUAACUUCAGUACCUAGAUACACAUGGUGGACAGAUUCUGAUGUAAUGACUUACAUCAGUAUGUCUAUACAGGGUUGCUUGAAUUGCCAAAAGCCUAAUAAGGGUGAAAGAUACAUUUAUGUCGGUAAUGGCAAGAAGAUUGAAGUUGAAGCAAUUGGAAAAUUUAGGCUACUAUUAAAAAUUAGAUUUUAUUUGGGUCUUGAUGAAACACUUAUUGUUAUGUCAUUUAAAUGAAAUUUGAUUUCCAUUUUCACUUUGGAUAAAUUUGGCUUUUUUUUGUUUAUUUAGGAAUAUAAAAUUUAGUUUAUUUCAUGAUUCAAAACUAGUUAGUUCUAGUUCGUUGUUAGGCUAUGAUAAUCUUUAUUUCAUUGAUACGAUUAGUUCAUUUAAUGAAUUUCUGCAAUUCAAUGCAUGAGUUUUAAAGAGAAGAUUAAUCAAUGAGAAUUCAACUGUGUUAUAGCAUAAGAGAUUAGGUCAUAUCUCCAAAUGAAAAAUAGAUAAACUUGUGUUAGUGAAAUUCUCGACUCCUUAGAUUUUACAGAUUUGGAUGUUUGUGUUGACUGUAUAAAGGGAAAAUAAACCAAUAAAAGAAUAUUUGAAGCCAACAAUGAAAUACUAACUAGGCAACCCAAGAGGGGGGUGAAUUGAGAUUUUAAAAAUAAGCUAAACAAACUAUAAACAAUUUAAUCUAAUGUCUCAAUGGAAUAAAAAACAAUAAAUUCAAUAAAGCACAAUAAUAAAAUAGUAAGGAGAGAGAGAGCAAGCACAAUGAUUUUUACGUGGUUCGGCAAUUUCCGCCUACGUCUACGCCUCCAAGCUCACCUGACUUGAGGAUUUCAUUAUCCAAACCUCCCAAGACUUCAAAUGCUUACAAUUGACUUCCAAGGUGUCAAUGAACCUUUACAAUAAAGAGAUUAUCUCCCCAAUCUCUUCACCCCAAGUGUUUCUCACACUUAUACACUCACAAUUUGAUGAGAAAUGAAAAUUACAACAAACAACUCCCUUUUAGAGUGGAUAUACAAAUGAUAACGCAAUGAUGAUUCAAUAAAUGAUGAUUUACGAAAUUGAAGCUCAAUAUAUGUUGUGUGCACUUGUUUAUGCUUGGAAAGAUUUUUAAAAAUGAAUUGGAUUUGAGUUUAUAUAGUUUGAGCUCAAAAACUAGUCGUUAUGCACUUUUUGGUGAUAACCGGUUUACUACUUUCAGAAUCCGGUUAGCUGCUUUUAUAUUACCGUUACAACAUAUUUUUGAAUUUUGCACAUCCGGCAUACCGCUUACGGAAUCCGGUUAGCCGCUUUCAUUCUAGUAAGCUACUGCCCAAAAUCCGGUCUACCGCUUGUGAAAAUCUGGUUAGUCGCUUGCUACAUUGAUUGCUACAGUGAAUAAUUUUCUAAAAUUAUAGUUUUAUCCCAAAACUUUCUAUAACUAUAUUAUGACCUAAAACGUUAUAAUUUUUCAAAUAGGUCAAAUUUCAGAAUUUCUAAAUAAUACUUGCUAUUCCCAAAACUUUAUAAAAUUAUGAUAUGGCCCAAAAUGUUAUGAAUUUUUUCAAAUAAGUCCUCCAAAAUUUUAAGCAAUACUUGUUGAUUUCAAAGUUUUCAAAACUCUUUCAAUUAGACCAUAAACUUGAAAAACAAUCAAUUUCAUAAAAUUAUUUUUCCAUUAAAUAUAAAACCUUUAUAAUGUGAAAAUAAUGAUUUAUUUAAAAUGUAUGAAAAAUAAUUUAAGCUUUUAAAAACUGAAUCAUUCUUAAUUUUGUUUGUUAUCAUCAAAAUCAAUAUUAUGGAUACAUAAAUGUUAACAAUCUCCCCCUUUUUGAUGAUGACAAACUUUUCAUGUAUUUAAAGAAUGAUUGCAGAAAUUGCUCCCCCUGAAUGUAAUCUCCCCCUACAAUUUGAGUUUAAAAGAUUAAUUAUUUUUAAUCUUAUUUGUUAUCAUCAAAAUCAACAUUAUGAAAACAUAUAUAUUAACAUUCUCCCCAUUUUUUAUGAUAACAAACUUUUUAUGUAUUUAAAGAAUGAUUCCAUAAAUUGCUCCCCCUAAAUGUAAGCUUCUCUUACAAUUUAGCUAAAUUAACAAAUUUAAAUACAUGUAUUCUUCUCCCCCUUCAUCAACAAAAAAAAAAAAAAAAAUUAGUGAAAAAGAAAAAGAGUAGCAAAUUUGUUACUCAUGUUGUCCGAAUAGAAAUUUCGAUAGAAUCUCUCCCUAACAACAAGCAUCACCUCAAAUACAAGUAUAUUGCUCCUAAAUUGUUAUAAAUCAUGAUACAAGCCAACUCCAUACACAAAUCAUCACACCAAAAUAUCAUGAAUCAUUAUUCCAUAAAUUACCAAGUCAACAACUUAUAACAUAAAAUUAUCAUAUAAAACACCCAUGUAAUCAAAUCAUUAUCAUAUCUCAAAAUCAUCACCAUAAUCACAUAUCAAUCAUUAAAACAAUACUCAAAAGUGCAUAUUAUUCUCCUUUUUUUGACAACAUCGAAAUGGUAUAUUAUUUUGUCUCUCCCUUUGGACAACCAAAAAGUUCAAAAUGCAUAUUAUCCAAAAUAGAACAAGUAAUAAGCUAAGAAAAGGAAGGCAAGAGUCAUAAGAGCAUAAUGUCAACAAUCCAAGUUCCACAAGUAAUAAUCACAUUUUUUUAAAAAAAAAGUAAACUCAUUUAAGAUCUAAUGUGACAUUUCAAUAUAACUUAAAAAAUCUCAUAUGCUUAAAAUUCUCGAAGUAUAUGUAUUUCUCCCCCUUUCGAUAUCGUUUAAAGCAAGUAAUGCAUAUUCGACAAUACAUCAAUAAAGUACAAAAAAUGUAUCCAUUCACCAAUCAUAGAUUCCAUAAGAUCAAACUUCAUCAAAUACAUAUAAUCAUCAAAGCAUAUUCUUUAUCUCAAAUCUUAAGCAAAGCAUAAGUAUAUAAUGACAAUAUAUAGAUCAUCAAAAUCAACAUAGCUAUUAAGAUAAGCCAUCAUCAUGAGCUAAAAGAAUAAGUGAUCAAAUUCAUAAGUGCAAUAAGUCAUGUGUGCGAAUUUUAUAAAUGAAUGAUGAUAUAACACAAUUAAUGACAUAUAAAUUCACACAUACAUAAGAGAUGUACAAUGAUGAUAGACAAUUAAGAAGAUGAAAUCAAAGACCAUACAAUCAUCAAAAUUAAACAAAGGCAUCAUGAUAAAUCACUCAAUGUUAUGCACAAUGAUAAUUCCAUCAUAUAAACAUACAAGCAUACUUUUGCAAAUUCAAGCUAUUAUCCAUUUAUCAUGGUCCACUCAACAUAAUAAAUAGGCAAGAUAAGCUUAUCCACAUCAUGUUAAUGAACUUAAUGUUAUGAUAAGAUAUGAAAUACUUACUAAGAUUAAAAGACUAUCACUUAUAAUCAAUAAGGCAAUAGUUGUUACCAAAACAAUUAAAUUAUCUUGUCUCAUCAUUUUCGCUUAGACAAUGAUCAAGUGAUUAUCCUCAUAAGCUUUCAUCAAGGAACUCUCCGUCAUUUCUUGAUUGUGAUACCUACAAAGAAAACAUUCACGUUGUGCCCUUUGGUACCCAAAUAUUCUUGGGUCCUUGAGCAUUAGAAUUGGUUUCUUUUGGAACCCAAAUACAUUUGACUCCAUAAUAUACAUUUCUCUUAACUGGACAUCUAAAACUUAUAUGAUAAUUUCCAUUACAAUAAUGACAAACAAUCUUAUGAUCACUUGUGGAGGUAACCUUAACAAAAUAAUUCUUAUAAUAUUUUUGUUUCAAGUUAGGCUUAUACCCAAGUCCUCCUUUAUCAAGCACACAUUUUUGAGUGCUUAGUAAUUUUUCUAAGUUCUUUUGACCACUUGUGAAUUUUAACACAAUUUCAUUGAGCUCAUUACUUUUUUUCUUAAGCACUUCAUUUUCUUUCAUCAAUUCAUCAACAUGUGAUCUUUCAUGUUCAUACAAAAUGCUUUGUUUACCUUUUAAUGAAACAAUUUUAUCAUGCAACAUUUUAUUAUCUAAAUCUAGUCCUUUAAUCUUUUCAUUUAAUGAAUCAUUACAUUUUUGUAAAGUAUCCUUUUCAUUUUUCAAGUCAUCUACAUGUGAUUCUAGAUGUUUGUGUGAAGUGCUAGAUUUCUUAUUUGAUAAUGCAACUCUAUCAUGCAAUAUUUAAUUCUCUAAUUCUAAGCAUGUAAUCUUUGCACUUAAAGAUUCAUUUUCAUUUGUGAGCUCUACCAUUUUCUUUUCAAGACAUAAAUUUGUUUUACCAAUUUUCAUCAACUCAUCAUGCAAUUCUUUAAAAACAUCGUGCAAUUCAUCAUAAGUAGGAAGAUCAUUUACCUCAUCAAGUUUGUCAUCUCCUAUUGCCAUAAGUGUUAGGUUUGACAAUUCUUACAAAUCUUCUUCAUCACUCGAUUCUUCAUCGCUAUUGUCCCAAGUAGCCACUAUGGCUUUCUUCUUGAGUUUGUUGAGAAGUGGACACUCCGAUCUUAUAUGGCCAUGCUUUUUGCAUUCAAAACAAACAAUUGCAUCCUUCUUCCCUUUCUCCACCUUAAGGUUUUCUCUCAUGAGAUGUUUAAAGUUUCUUCUCUUGAUUUGCUUCUUGAAGAUCCUUCUAAACUUUCUAGCAAUCAUUUCAAUGCCUUCAUCUUCAAAGUCACUUCCAUCAUCAUCACUUUCAACUAUAGAAGAUUUAAAAGCAAAGCUCUUCUUCUUUUUAUCUUCAUCAAUUCUUUUAUUAGCUAUAUUUUCUUCAUAUGAAAUAAGUGAACCAAUAAGAUCAUCAAGAGAUAAAGUAUUAAGAUUUUUUGCUUCUUCUAUGGCUGUUCUCUUUGGUCUCCACUCUUUUGACAAUGAUCUAAUAAUUUUCUUCACUUUUUUACAAUUACUAAAUGUCUUUUAAAGUGCUUCAAGAGAAUUUACAAUAUCGGUGAAUCUAGUGUACAUAUCAUGAACACACUCAUAUGAUUGCAUUUGAACAUCUCAUAUUGCCUAGUGAAUCUACUAAUUUUACACUCCUUGACUUGAUUUGUUCCCUCAUAUACAACUUCAAGUUUCUUCCAAAUUUCAUAAGCACUUUCACAACUAGAAACUCUAUGAAAUUCUUUCUUAUCUAAAGAAUUCAUUGCUUUGGAGUUUAAAGACAUUUUUUUCUGUUCUAAUCCACUCCAUUGACUAGAAGGUUUUGAAAUUUCUUCCCCUUCUUCACUUUUAGUAGUAGGCAUGAAAGGACCAUCAUUAAUGAUUUCCCAAAUUUCAUAGUCUAAGCCUUAUAAAAAUACUCUCAUCCUAGUUUUCCAAUAAGGAUAGUCAUUACCAUAAAAAAAUGGAGGUCUAGUGGUGGAUUGGCCUUCUAUGAAGGUUGAACUAAUUUGGGUUGCUAUUGAUCUUUAACUCUAAAUGGUUAAGUCUACACAAGAGCACAUCGCUCUGAUACCAAAUGAAAUACUAACUAGGCAACCCAAGAGGGGGGUGAAUUGAGAUUUUAAAAAUUAAGAUAAACAAACCAUAAACAAUUUAAUCUAAUACCUUAAUGGAUUCAAAAAUAAUAAAUUCAAUAAAGCACAAUAAUAAAAUAGUAAGGAGAGAGAGCGCAAACACAAUGAUUUUUAUGUGGUUCGGCAAUCCCCGCCUACGUCCACGCCUCCAAGCUCACCCAGCUUGAGGAUUUCACUAUCCAAGCCUCCCAAGGCUUCAAAUGCUUACAAUUGACUUCGAAGGUGUCGAUGAACCUUUACAACAAAGAGAUUAUCUCCCCAAUCUCUUCACCCCAAGUGUUUCUCACACUUGUACACUUACAAUUUGAUGAGAAAUAAAAAUUACAACAAACAACUCUCUUUUAGAGUGGAUAUACAAAUGAUAGCACAAUGAUGAUUCAAUAAAUGAUGAUUUACGAAAUUGAAGCUCAAUAUAUGUUGUGUGCACUUGUUUAUGCUUGUAAAGAUUUUUAAAAAUGAAUUGGAUUUGAGUUUAUAUAGUUUGAGCUAAAAAACUAGCCGUUAUGCACUUUUUGGUGAUAACCAGCUUACUGCUUUCAAAAUCCGGUUAGCCGCUUUUAUGUUACCGUUACAACAUAUUUUUGAAUUUUGCACAUCCGACAUACCGCUUACGGAAUCCGUUUAGCCGCUUUCAUUCGAGUAAGCUAUUGCCCAAAAUUCGGUUUACCACUUGUCAAAAUCCGGUUUACCGCUUGCUAUAGUGACUGCUAUAGUGAAUAAUUUUCUAAAAUUAUAGUUUUACCCCAAAGCUUUUUAUAACUGUAUUAUGGCCCAAAACGUUAUAAAUUUUACAAAUAUGUCCAAUUUCAGAAUUUCUAAAUAAUGCUUGCUAUUCCCAAAACUGUGUGAAAUUAUGAUAUGGCCCAAAAUGUUAUGAAACUUUUCAAAUAAGUCCUCUAGAAUUUCAAGCAAUACUUGUUGAUUUCAAAGUUUUCAAUACUCUUUCAAUUAGACCAUAAACUUGAAAAACAAUCAAUUUCAUAAAAUCAUUUUUCCAUUAA
rnacentral:lncRNA from 1 species